rnacentral:rRNA from 1 species
GAGUGAAGAGGGAAGAGCUCAUCAUUGGAAUCUGGCAGUGUUGCACUGUCCGAGUUGUAGAUGAGGAGUAGUCCGUCUGGACUGCAUGGCGUCCAAGUACAAUAGGCCGUCAGUGGGACAUCAUAGAGGGUGACAAUCCCGUCCUUGACGCCAAUGUGCAAGUCUAUUACGAUGGCUAUCUCAGAGAGUCGAGCAGUUUGGGAUUUGCUGCUUAAACAUGGGAGGUAGAUUCCUUCUAAAGCUAAAUACAGGCGAGAGACCGAUAGAGAACAAGUACCGCAAGGGAAAGAUGAAAUAGCACUCUGUGAAGGGAGUCAAAAGGCGUGAAAUUGUUGCGAGAGAAGCGAUUCAAGUCAGCGUAGCUAGGCCCAUCAAGCGUCUUCGCUUUGGACUAGCUUUGCCAGCGGUCUUGUCCCUUCAAGAGACUUGACUUGUAAUAUGUCCAGCCUGGCGUGCACAGGCAGCCCCUUCUGGGGGCCAGUGGCAUGGCUGGUGGAAUGGCUUGCAAUCGACCCGUCUUGAAACACGGACCAAGGAGUCUAACAUGUAUGCGAGUAUAAGGGUGGCAAACCCGUAUGCGCAAUGAAAGUGAUUUUCGGUGAUUGAGAAUGGCCUGAUGACCAGACAAGCAAUAUAUGUCCCUCGUACGGCCAUUGCCCAAGUUCCGUGGUAGAUCCCACGAACAUGGAGUUGGAGCAUACAUGCUAGGACCCGAAAGAUGGUGAACUAUGCCUGGNCAAAGCGAAGCCAAAGGAAACUCUGGUG